CCUACGGGAGGCAGCAGUGAGGAAUAUUGGUCAAUGGGCGGAAGCCUGAACCAGCCAAGUCGCGUGCAGGAUGACGGCCCUACGGGUUGUAAACUGCUUUUAUACGGGAAUAACGCGCCUUACGUGUAGGGCUUUGCAUGUACCGUAUGAAUAAGGACCGGCUAAUUCCGUGCCAGCAGCCGCGGUAAUACGGAAGGUCCGGGCGUUAUCCGGAUUUAUUGGGUUUAAAGGGAGCGUAGGCCGCAGGGCAAGCGUGCUGUGAAAGGUCCGGGGUCAACCCGGGCCUGGCAGCGCGAACGGGCGUGCUUGAGGCCGCGGAGAGCAGGUGGAAUU
rnacentral:rRNA from 1 species